CGUGAAACAAGAGGUGGAGCUUUAGCUAGCAUGCCCAACGAGUAGCACUCACUCGGCUGUCAAUCAAUGGAUAAUCAAGGAAAGCGUUUGACUUGAACGUUGGUUUUCUAUAUUUUCCCAUGUCCAAACUUGAAGACUGGAGACUUCACGUCGGCUACUGGUCGUCUAUCUGCAUAUCUCGAAAGAGUAAACAUUCAAUCACAACAAAGUAACAAGUUGGCUGGCAGUCUGCUCGUUGCCGAGUGGUGAAGUGGUCGGCCAGAGGGAGGAGUGGUGAAGUGGUCAGCCAGAGAGACGAGUGGGUAAGUGGUCAGCCAGAGAGACGAGUGGUCGGCCAGCGGGACGAGUGGUACUCCAUGCCUGGACC